CCUACGGGUGGCAGCAGUAGGGAAUUUUCGUCAAUGGGCGCAAGCCUGAACGAGCAAUGCCGCGUGAACGAGGAAGGUCUUCGGAUCGUAAAGUUCUGUUGAAGGGGAAAAAGAGCGGAGAGAGGAAAUGCUUUCUGAUUGAUAUUAACCUUCGAGGAAGUGACGGCUAACUACGUGCCAGCAGCCGCGGUAAUACGUAGGUGGCGAGCGUUAUCCGGAAUGAUGGGGCGUAAAGGGUGCGUAGGCGGCCUGCUACGUCUGGGGGAAAAGGUACCGGCUCAACCGGUACAGGCUCUGGAAACUGGCGGGCUAGAGGGCAGGAGAGGGCGGUGGAACUCCAUGUGUAGCGGUAAAAUGCGUAGAUAUAUGGAAGAACACCAGUGGCGAAGGCGGCCGCCUGGCCUGUUACUGACGCUGAGGCACGAAAGCGUGGGGAGCAAAUAGGAUUAGAUACCCGGGUAGUC
rnacentral:rRNA from 1 species